ensembl:lncRNA
GCUGAUAUCACAAAGGAGAGGGUCAUAGGUCAGCUGGCAUCAGAGAGGAGAGGGUCAUAGGUCAGCUGGCAUCAGAGAGGGUCAUAGGUCAGCUGGCAUCAGAGAGGAGUUGGUCAUAGGUCAGCUGGCAUCAGAGAGGAGAGUUUCAUAGGUCAGCUGAUAUCACAGAGGAGAGGGUCAUAGGUCAGCUGGCAUCAGAGAGGAGUUGGUCAUAGGUCAGCUGGCAUCAGAGAGGAGUUGGUCAUAGGUCAGCUGGCAUCAGAGAGGAGAGGUUCAUAGGUCAGUUGGCAUCAGAGAGGAAAGGUUCAUAGGUCAGCUGGCAUCAGAGAGGAGAGGGUCAUAUGUCAGCUGGCAUCACAUCUGACCCCUGAUGUGUUAUUUAGUGAUAGCUUUUACUCUUUCUUUCAAGGGUCCUAUUCACAAGUGCCUGGAGUAGUAGUGUGGGG